rnacentral:rRNA from 1 species
CUCGUAGGCGGUUCGUCGCGUCCGGUGUGAAAGUCCAUCGCUUAACGGUGGAUCCGCGCCGGGUACGGGCGGGCUUGAGUGCGGUAGGGGAGACUGGAAUUCCCGGUGUAACGGUGGAAUGUGUAGAUAUCGGGAAAGAACACCAAUGGCGAAGGCAGGUCUCUGGGCCGUCACUGACGCUGAGGAGCGAAAGCGUGGGGAGCGAACA